UACAGAGGGUGCAAGCGUUAAUCGGAAUUACUGGGCGUAAAGCGUGCGCAGGCGGUUCGCUGUGUCCGAUGUGAAAGCCCCGGGCUUAACCUGGGAAUGGCAUUGGAAACUGGCGGGCUUGAGUGCGGCAGAGGGGGGGUGGAAUUCCGCGUGUAGCAGUGAAAUGCGUAGAGAUGCGGAGGAACACCGAUGGCGAAGGCAGCCCCCUGGGCUAGCACUGACGCUCAGGCACGAAAGCGUGGGGAGCAAACAGG
rnacentral:rRNA from 1 species